CCUACGGGCGGCUGCAGUGGGGAAUAUUGGACAAUGGGGGCAACCCUGAUCCAGCCAUACCGCGUGUGUGAAGAAGGCCUUAGGGUUGUAAAGCACUUUCAGUGGGGAGGAAAAGUUGCCGGCGAAUACCCGGCGACCGUGACGCUACCUGCAGAAGAAGCACCGGCAAACUCCGUGCCAGCAGCCGCGGUAAUACGGAGGGUGCGAGCGUUAAUCGGAAUUACUGGGCGUAAAGCGCGCGUAGGCGGUUUGGUAAGCUGGAUGUGAAAGCCCUGGGCUCAACCUGGGAACUGCAUCCAGAACUGCCAAGCUAGAGUAUGGUAGAGGACAGUGGAAUUUCCGGUGUAGCGGUGAAAUGCGUAGAGAUCGGAAGGAACACCAGUGGCGAAGGCGACUGUCUGGACCAAUACUGACGCUGAGGUGCGAAAGCGUGGGGAGCAAACAGGAUUAGAUACCCGAGUAGUC
rnacentral:rRNA from 1 species